GAGAGUUAAAUAGUACGUGAAAUUGUUGAAAGGGAAACGAUUGAAGUCAGUCAUGCUAGUGAAAAAUCAGUUUGACGGGUUUUGAGUUCGGGAGUAGAGGCAGGGUAAAACCGUUUCUCUUUUGAACUUGGGAUUUGUUAGAUGUACUUUUUCUUUGGCAGGUCAGCGUCGAUUUCGGAGGUUGUAAAAUACUUGGGGGAAAGUAGCUCUGCUUCGGGAGAGUAUUAUAGACCCUGGGGGAUGCAGCCUGCGGGAUCGAGGAUUGCAGCAAAUGCCUUUGGCUUGUCGCCUGAUCUCUGGAUGUUACCUCGCUUGUGACAACAUUCUUGCCACCUGUGGGUACUAAUGCCCAUUAGGUUAGAGCGAUCAAAAAUUUUGCUAAGGAUGCUGACGUAAUGGCUUUAAACGA
rnacentral:rRNA from 1 species